CCUUGUGCAACCACACAUCAGCCAUGCCGUCAAUCCGUGAUGGCUAUUAAGCGGGGGAAACCGACGAGGAGAAGCCGCCGCGUCCCGGACAGCGACAGACCACGACCACGCAGCGGUAUGAGCUGCAAUGCUUCCUUUUUUUUUUUUUUCCCUAAAUUAUAUAUAAUUGCGAAGGCACCUGGAAGACGUAGAUAAAAACCAUAAAAACCAUUUACCCAAAAAUCUAUUUAGAAAAGUCUACGUCUCCCUACGCUCGGGGGUAAACAUCGCCCAGAAAGUACGAGCAGCCCCCCACCCCGCACCCGUCACCCAACACCCAGACAACACAACACAAAAGUCAGAAACAAUUACUUGACUCAAAAGUCAAAAAGGAUAAAAAUUUUCCGGAGUAAGAAGUCAUUCAUACAUGGCCUCAAAGCACUGAGGUCCCCUAGACCCCGCCCCCGGAGAGUUGACUGUUCAAAUAUUUAUUUUACCCCCCCUCAGUGAAUUGAUAUAGAAGCAUGUAAACGACGUCUCUACCUUCUGAAAUUAGGGACUCCAAACUGAAUGGUUUUGCUACACACUGCAAGGAAUAGAUCCUCUCCAGGAAAAUUUUUUUCCUCUCCUCGUGUUCCGGGCAUUCCAUAAUCAAGAGAUUGAGGUCUUCUGGUUGAUCACAAGUCGCGCAAUUUGGGCGGUCUCUCACUACUAUUCUGAAUCUAUGCGCGCCUCAUAACCCGUGAUUUGUACGUAUUCGAACCAUCGUGGAGAAAAAAACGCCUCGAACCCUUAAACCCUUGAUACCAUGGCUUCUUAGGCGUGUACAGUUGCCCUCCCUGGAAACCGUCAUGUAACAGUUGCCAAUCGCACAUAAAAUUUGUAUUUGUCAAACUUCUUUUUGGGAUUCAUCUUGUUUGUUCUUUUGGCCUUGGUCUGGGAUAGCUCAAUCAAUAGUGUUUAACCAAUUAAAAUGAAACUGAAAAAAAAAACUUUUAUUGAUGUUUAUCCUCUUUUCUGACCUGGUUAACAACGAAAUUUGAGAAAACAAAGCAAGAUCGGAAAAGGAUAGUAAAGGAAAGAGUAUUAAUCUUCUUUUUUCAGGCUUUAGCCUUGAUUGCAAUUAUUCCAAGUGAAGCUCAUUCGGCUCCUCCAGGCGGAUAUGUAGACAACAGACGGGAAAACGCAGGAUCGGGAUUUGUGUACUAUCACAAGGAAAACAGAGGCGUCGAUGGCUACGAUUUUUCGUAUGAACUUCAUAAUGGAUCGAAACGAAGGGAAAAAGGAGAAUUCGUAAAUGGCGUAUGGACGGUGAGCGGUGUCUUCGAGUGGCGAUCUGCCGAUGGAAAAACACAAAAGACGACGUUCAAUACGGGCCUUAACCAUCCCUAACUCUGGCCUUAUUUUCUCUCACUUUUUCAUUCAUUUUUUCUCUUUUCCCCCUCUUUAUUUCUUGUUUCUCUCUCCCUCUUCUCGCUCUCUCUCCCUCGCUUCCUCUCUCUCUCAUUUAUUCUCUCUCCUCUCAUUUUCAAUUUAUCUACCUUCUUCCUCCACCUGUCUGUCUAUACACCAAUAUAUCUCGCUCUCUCUUUUUUUUUUCUUCUUCUGUCUUUCUUUCUCUAUUUUUCUCUUCUCACUCUCCCUCUUUCUGUUUCUUUGUCUUUCAUGUCUUCUCUUUCCCCCUCACUCUAUUUCUUGUUUUUUUUAUGUAUUUUUCCCUCCCUCAUUCUUUCUCCCUUUUUGCCUCUCUCGCUCACUCCCUCUCUAUCUAUCCAUCCAUCUAUCUAUAUUAUCUACCUAUUUAUCACUGAAAAUAUAUGCGAUUGGAAAAAAAAUAUGUAAAAAAAAUCUUAGAAGUUCAAAAAUGCAACUUUACACAAGACUGCUGGGUUUUUUUUAACGUAAUAAAAAUAAAUUGGUAAUUUAUAUUCUAAAUUUGUCAGAGCUCAGAUGAUAAAACCUUUCCUGAACCUAUUAUAAUUUCUUUAAAGUAA
rnacentral:lncRNA from 1 species